rnacentral:rRNA from 1 species
UACAGAGGUCUCAAGCGUUGUUCGGAUUCAUUGGGCGUAAAGGGUGCGUAGGUGGCGCCGUAAGUCAGGUGUGAAAUCUCGGGGCUCAACCCCGAAACUGCAUUCGAUACUGCGUGGCUCGAGUACUGGAGAGGAGACUGGAAUUUACGGUGUAGCAGUGAAAUGCGUAGAUAUCGUAAGGAAGACCAGUGGCGAAGGCGAGUCUCUGGACAGUUACUGACGCUGAGGCACGAAGGCCAGGGGAGCAAACGGG